rnacentral:rRNA from 1 species
ACUCCUACGGGAGGCAGCAGUGGGGAAUCUUGCGCAAUGGGCGAAAGCCUGACGCAGCAACGCCGCGUGCGGGAUGAAGGCUCUCGGGUUGUAAACCGCUUUCAGGAGGGACGAAAAUGACGGUACCUCCAGAAGAAGCCCCGGCCAACUACGUGCCAGCAGCCGCGGUAACACGUAGGGGGCGAGCGUUGUCCGGAUUUAUUGGGCGUAAAGAGCUCGUAGGCGGUUCGGCAAGUCGGGUGUGAAAUUUCGAGGCUCAACCUCGAAACGCCACUCGAUACUGCUGUGACUGGAGUCCGGUAGAGGAGUGCGGAAUUCCUGGUGUAGCGGUGAAAUGCGCAGAUAUCAGGAGGAACACCAACGGCGAAGGCAGCACUCUGGGCCGGUACUGACGCUGAGGAGCGAAAGCGUGGGGAGCAAACAGGAUUAGAUACCCUGGUAGUCCACGCCGUAAACGUUGGGCACUAGGUGUGGGGGGCUGUCAACGCCCUCCGUGCCGUAGCUAACGCA